CCUACGGGAGGCUGCAGUGAGGAAUAUUGGUCAAUGGACGAGAGUCUGAACCAGCCAAGUAGCGUGAAGGAUGACUGCCCUAUGGGUUGUAAACUUCUUUUAUAUGGGAAUAAAAUGUUCCACGUGUGGGAUUUUGUAUGUACCAUAUGAAUAAGGAUCGGCUAACUCCGUGCCAGCAGCCGCGGUAAUACGGAGGAUCCGAGCGUUAUCCGGAUUUAUUGGGUUUAAAGGGAGCGUAGGUGGAUUGUUAAGUCAGUUGUGAAAGUUUGCGGCUCAACCGUAAAAUUGCAGUUGAAACUGGCAGUCUUGAGUACAGUAGAGGUGGGCGGAAGUCGGGGUGUAGCGGUGAAAUGCUUAGAUAUCACGAAGAACUCCGAUUGCGAAGGCAGUUCACUGGACUGCAACUGACACUGAGGCUCGAAAGUGUGGGUAUCAAACAGGAUUAGAUACCCCUGUAGUC
rnacentral:rRNA from 1 species